rnacentral:rRNA from 1 species
CUGCUCAGAUUGAACGCUGGCGGCAGGCCUAACACAUGCAAGUCGAGCGGAAACGAGAAUAGCUUGCUAUUCGGCGUCGAGCGGCGGACGGGUGAGUAAUACCUGGGAAAUUGCCCUGAUGUGGGGGAUAACCAUUGGAAACGAUGGCUAAUACUGCAUAGUAUCUGCGGAUUAAAGGGGGCUUAGGCUCUUGCUUUAAGAUGAACCCAAGUGGGAUUAGCUAGUUGGUGAGGUAAUGGCUCACCAAGGCGACGAUCCCUAGCUGGUCUGAGAGGAUGAUCAGCCACACUGGAACUGAGACACGGUCCAGACUCCUACGGGAGGCAGCAGUGGGGAAUAUUGCACAAUGGGCGAAAGCCUGAUGCAGCCAUGCCGCGUGUGUGAAGAAGGCCCUAGGGUUGUAAAGCACUCUCAGUCAGGAGGAAAGGUUAGUAGUUAAUACCUGCUAGCUGUGACGUUACUGACAGAAGAAGCACCGGCUAACUUCGUGCCAGCAGCCGCGGUAAUACGAGGGGUGCAAGCGUUAAUCGGAAUUACUGGGCGUAAAGCGAGCGCAGGCGGCUGAAUAAGCUGGAUGUGAAAAACCGGGGCUCAACCUCGGCCGUGCAUUCAGAACUGUUUAGCUAGAGUCCUGUAGAGGGGGGUAGAAUUUCA